rnacentral:rRNA from 1 species
GAUAUGGCCUGCCCAGUGAUAUUAAUUUAACGGCCGCAGUAUUUUGACUGUGCAAAGGUAGCAUAAUCAUUAGUUUAUUAAUUGUAAACUUGUAUGAAUGGUUUGACGAAACAAUUACUUUCUUUUUUAUAUUAUUUGAAUUUAAAUAGUAAGUUAGAAUGCUUAUAUUUAUUUNUUAGACGAGAAGACCCUGUAGAUCUUUAUUAUUUUAUUUAUAGUUUGAUUUGGUUAUUUUAUUUAUUAUAAUUAUAUUUUUUUGUUGGGGUGAUAUUAGAAUAUAUUUAACUUCUAAUUUUUUAUUACAUUUAUUUAUGUUUAUUUGAAUUUAUUUUAUUAUUUUAAGACUUAGAUACCUUAGGGAUAACAGCGUAAUUUAAUUUGAGAGUUCUUAUUGACAAUUAAGAUUGCGACCUCGAUGUUGGAUUAAGAUUAUUAUUAGGUGUAGAUGCUUAAUUUAUAGGUCUGUUCGACCUUUAAAAUCUUACAUGAUCUGA